ACGACUUUAUCACGCUGAAACACCAGUUCUCCUACGAUCACCGGAGUUAAGCAAUACCGAAUUUGGUCGGUACCGAGAUGGGUGACCGCUUGGGUAUCCCAGGUGUUGUAU